rnacentral:misc_RNA from 1 species
GAUGAAGAACGUAGUGAAAUGCGAUACGUAAUGUGAAUUGCAGAAUUCAGUGAAUCAUCGAGUCUUUGAACGCACAUUGCGCCCCCUGGUAUUCCGGGGGGCAUGCCUGUCCGAGCGUCAUUGCUGCCCUCAAGCACGGCUUGUGUGUUGGGCCUCCGUCCUCCUCCCGGGGGACGGGCCCGAAAGGCAGCGUCGGCACCGCGUCCGGUCCUCGAGCGUAUGGGGCUUCGUCACCCGCUCUUGUAGGCCCGGCCGGCGCUUGCCGACACAUCAAUCUUUUUUCCAGGUUGACCUCGGAUCAGGUAGGGAUACCCGCUGAACUUAAGCAUAUCAAUAAGCGGAGGA